UGUCUACUUGGAGGUUGUGGCCUUGAGCCGUGGCUUUCGGAGCUAACGCGUUAAGUAGACCGCCUGGGGAGUACGGUCGCAAGAUUAAAACUCAAAUGAAUUGACGGGGGCCCGCACAAGCGGUGGAGCAUGUGGUUUAAUUCGAUGCAACGCGAAGAACCUUACCUACUCUUGACAUCCAGAGAACUUUCCAGAGAUGGAUUGGUGCCUUCGGGAACUCUGAGACAGGUGCUGCAUGGCUGUCGUCAGCUCGUGUUGUGAAAUGUUGGGUUAAGUCCCGCAACGAGCGCAACCCUUAUCCUUGUUUGCCAGCGAGUAAUGUCGGGAACUCCAGGGAGACUGCCGGUGAUAAACCGGAGGAAGGUGGGGACGACGUCAAGUCAUCAUGGCCCUUACGAGUAGGGCUACACACGUGCUACAAUGGCGCAUACAGAGGGCAGCAAGCUAGCGAUAGUGAGCGAAUCCCAAAAAGUGCGUCGUAGUCCGGAUUGGAGUCUGCAACUCGACUCCAUGAAGUCGGAAUCGCUAGUAAUCGUGGAUCAGAAUGCCACGGUGAAUACGUUCCCGGGCCUUGUACACACCGCCCGUCACACCAUGGGAGUGGGCUGCAAA
rnacentral:rRNA from 1 species